AGGGUUAUAGUUAAAUAUAACAUUUGAUUUGCAAUCAAAAAGUACUGAUUAAUAGUUUACCUUU
rnacentral:tRNA from 1 species